rnacentral:rRNA from 1 species
AAUUACACGACGCACGUCCGCCAGAAAAUUACGAGCACCCCUUCAGCCUAAAACUCAAAAGACUUGACGGUGCCCCAAUCUCCCUAGAGGAGCCUGUUCCAUAAUCGAUAAUCCCCGAUCAACCCAACCACCCCUAGCCCCCCCCAGCCUAUAUACCGCCGUCACCAGCUUACCCCUUAAAAGCCCACACAGUAAGCAAAAUAGUACUUUACUAAUACGUCAGGUCAAGGUGUAGCUCAUGCGGUGGUGUCAAUGGGCUACAUUAUCUGCCUCAGAUACAACGAACUUUUUCUUGAAACACUAAUAUAAAGUCGGAUUUAGCAGUAAAUUCUGCAAGAGAGCACAAUUUAACGCCUGCUCUGGGGCA